rnacentral:rRNA from 1 species
GACCUCAGAUCAGGCAGGAUUACCCGCUGAACUUAAGCAUAUCAAUAAGCGGAGGAAAAGAAACUAACAAGGAUUCCCCUAGUAGCGGCGAGCGAAGCGGGAAGAGCUCAAAUUUGUAAUCUGGCGCUUUCAGCGUCCGAGUUGUAAUCUCUAGAAAUGUUUUCCGCGUUGGACCGCACACAAGUCUGUUGGAAUACAGCGGCACAGUGGUGAGACCCCCGUUCAUGGUGCGGAUGCCCAAUGCUUUGUGAUACAUUUUCGAAGAGUCGAGUUGUUUGGGAAUGCAGCUCAAAUUGGGUGGUAAAUUCCAUCUAAAGCUAAAUAUUGGCGAGAGACCGAUAGCGAACAAGUACCGUGAGGGAAAGAUGAAAAGCACUUUGGAAAGAGAGUUAACAGUACGUGAAAUUGUUGGAAGGGAAACGAUUGAAGUCAGACUUGUUAUCUGGAGUUCAGCCUUUCGGUGUACUCUCCAGUUUACAGGCCAGCAUCAGUUUUCGGGGCGGGAAAAUCGUAAUUAGAAGGUAGCAGCCUAGCUGUGUUAUAGCUUUUUACUGGAUUCCGCUUUGGGGACUGAGGAACGCAGUGUGCUUUUAGCAAUACCCUCGGGUAUUUCACACUUAGGAUGCUGGUGGAAUGGCUUUAAACGACCCGUCUUGAAACACGGACCAAGGAGUCUAACAUGCUUGCGAGUAUUUGGGUGUCAAACCCGGAUGCGCAAUGAAAGUGAAUGAAGGUGGGAUCCGCAAGGUGCACCAUCGACCGAUCUGGAUUUUUUAAGAUGGAUUUGAGUAAGAGCAAUUAUGUUGGGACCCGAAAGAUGGUGAACUAUGCCUGAAUAGGGCGAAGCCAGAGGAAACUCUGGUGGAGGCUCGUAGCGGUUCUGACGUGCAAAUCGAUCGUCAAAUUUGGGUAUAGGGGCGAAAGACUAAUCGAACCAUCUAGUAGCUGGUUCCUGCCGAAGUUUCCCUCAGGAUAGCAGAAACUCGCAUCAGUUUUAUGAGGUAAAGCGAAUGAUUA